GUUCAAGCCCCUCCAAAGAAGACAAGAAGUUGGUUCAAGGGUCGAGAUUGAAAAAUGAGGAACUGGAAUCCCGUCUUUUCCCUCACCAGAAACUACUUCGAGAUUGAAAAAUGACCUAAAAGCAAUGCUUCAGGCCAUAUACAUUGCUGGUCAUGCCACAGAAUCCUUUACUGAAUUUGCUGUGGGACACGGAGAGUUAUGGUUUUCAUAGAUGUUGUCUUUUGUAAUUAAGAAAGUACAUUGUAUAAUUGAGAAACGUCUGCAUUGUGUUUUAAUAUGAAUGUGCUGACGGAAGCUGCUUCCCUCUUACUGAACAAAUCUGUUCUAUUGAGAUACCAUCCCUCUAUAUGUUUCCCUUUACUGUCUAUAUAUGUCCAAUCUCAAUAUAUUAAUGUAUUGUAUGUUGUAAGUAAUAUUAAAUCUGUAUCCAUAAGGAAUUAGGAUUUGAUCAAAAUUACAAGUUGGGCUUUUAGAUCGUGAAAAGGCAGAAUUGAAGGGAAGUGAAAAUAUUAUAUUCCCGGGGAGCGGGUUUGUUAGUAUAUAAAUGAGGAUCAUUUCAGGGGCGUUGGGGUGCGUUGUGUGAUUAGAGGUUUUGUGUUUGAUUAGAGGUUUUGUUAGUAUAUAAAUGAUUUUGUUAUUGUUGAUUUCAGAGAAGAUUUUCGAAACUUUGCAAAAGUUUAUUUCAAAUACUUUGGAGAUAGGGUGAAACAUUGGAUUACCCUAAAUGAGCCAUGAUCAUACAGUAAUAAUGGUUAUGCAAUUGUAACCUUUGCACCAGGUCGAUACUCUAAAUUACUAGAUUCAACUUGCUUGGGUGGUGAUUCUGGAACAGAACCUUAUAUAGUUACACAUAAUUUACUACUUGCUCAUGUAUCUGCUGUAGAUGUGUACAAGGAAAAGUUCGAGGUUGGUUUAACCUUAAUGAGAAACUUUCACAUCUUCAUAGUUUGUUAGAUUUCCACAUUGCUACGAGGGUUUAAGUAUUCAUUGCUGAUAAAAAAGAUAUUCUAGUGUAGCUCUUAUAUUAAUUAACGUUCAAAACACUUUACAUAGGAAUGUCAAAUGGGAAAGAUAGGCAUAACAUUAAUUACUCAUUGGUUUGAAUCAUUUUCGAAUACCCCAUCAGAUACAGCUCCUGCCGAAUGAGCACUUGACUUCAUGUUUGGAUGGUACAUGGAACCAUUAACGUCAAGAAAAUAUCCAGUGAGCAUGUGUGACUUAGUUGGUAAUCAAUUGCCAGAAUUCAGUGAAAAAGAAUCAGAACUUCUUGCUGAUUCAAUAUAUUUUCUUGGACUAAACUAUUACACCACUUACUAUGCUACCGAUGCACCCAAAGCCAGUCAACCAAGUUAUACAACAGAUUCUGAUGGCCAACUAUUAAGUAAGGAAAUUUUUAUCUAUCAAUUAUUUAGGCUGUGUGUUGAUCAAUAUUUGGAAAUCACACUUAUUUUUGUUUUCAGUUAACUCAACCAGAUUUUCUUACCUGUUUUGAGUUCAUCUGUUUAACCUACAAAGGCUUUGUAUAGACGUUACUGCAUGGAAUAUUGAUUGAUUGUGUUCACAUACCCCUCAGCUUGGACUUCCUGGGUCAAAUUUUCAAGGGCCCAUACCUUUGUAUCAACCUAGAGGAAACAUAGGAUCAUGGGGAGCUUCUCCGCCAGCUCCAAAUGCAAAUGGUGGUAGGCUUGCUAUGCCAAUGUAUUGCAGCAGCCUAUGCAGUAUUACUUUCUAUUCUGCUAAUUUUGAAAAAACUAACCUGGUGAUUGAUGUUGUUAUCAUUUUGGUGUUAUUUGAUUAUUUAGUAAUUAUUACUUUUCGAUUUGUUUCAAUCAUUCUGUGAUAAUGGAACAGGUAUUUGGAUAGUUGUUUUUUGUUUGAGAAGAUUCGCUGGUUCCAUAAUAGUUCAUUUGGCUAAUUUUAUUUUAUUUUUUCUAUACUGGAUGACCUAGACCUAUUUCAAAAAGUGUCUUGACAAUAGGUGGGGAAACUCUUCUCAUAAUAUAUGGUCUGCAUAUGGCAUACAAAGAUUGUGACUGUUCUGUCUCCCUUGUUUUAAUAGAUGGAACACUCCUCACCAAAAUAGAGCGAUAUCUGAAACAAGGAAUUGUAGAUAAGAAUCCAAUUGUUGCAAGUGCAUCCUUAGUUAGCGGCAUUCAUCUGCUUCAGUAGAUGUUGGGCUGAUGCCAAUGAAGCUGUUGUCAUUCUUCAUCCAUCAAAUAUUAUUGUUUUUACUCUUGACUUCUCGGGGGUCGAUCAGGCUAUGUUAGCUUUGGUUGGCAUGAAGUAAGUUUACCUAUUAAUGUAAACUUAAUUUAUCAUGUAUAUUUUCACCUUUGAAUCCUCCUCUUCUAUUUGCUGUUAACAAGAGAGAUAUUGUUAUAAGAAAUUUUA